CGCGGCGUGCGUGCAGAAACGCACCCCCCGAAAAGAGCAGGCACAAGCGGAAAACACGGUGCCGGGGCCCAGAGGACGCCCUCACUCCCGCAUUUCACCCCUCGGCACCGCUUUCAAGCCAAAAAAAAAAAGGGCAGGGAGACACCACCGGCUCCGCAGCCGGAGCAAUCUCCGAUUGAACCUGGCCCUUGCCCUGGGCUGAAUUUCAAGACGCAAACACCAAUCCAAAAAGCAAUUUGCAGCCUUAAGGCAGCGCAUGCAAACCACCGGCGCAAUUCAGCACGAGGCAAAAAAACCCCAAAACAUCCCUUCUGCCCCCAAAUCUGCUGCAAAUUCCCGAGGCCGGAUGCUGUCAACCGGCGGGCGAACAAGCCCCGGAUUGACGGGAGGGCGAGCGGCAGCGCCCGGAGCGGCAAGAAAGGCUUUAAACAAGCCUGAAAGUCAUGGGACCUAUUGGUAUGCAGAGCCCGUCCUCCUUCCCUGCAGGCUGCCCGAAAAAGAGAGGAAAAAAAAAAACAAGGAUCCCAGUUUAAGGCCGCUUUUUUUGCACCGGGUCGUGCAAAAAAAAAAGCCUUUUUUUUUUUUUUGCGGGGAAAGAGGCACCUUGGGGGCCCCUCGCCCCGCGGCGUUGUGCAAAGCGGGUGCUUCAGGGUGUCGGCGCCUGCUGCUUUGCACAGCCCCGCGCCGCCUCUUGCAAUUUUUUUUUAAUUUUGGGGGGGGCAAAUUCCUUUUUUGCAAAUUCCCUUUUGCAAAUUCUCUUUUUUGCAAAUUCUCUUUCUUGCGAAUCUCUUUUUUGCGAAUCUCUUUUUUGCAAAUCUCUUUUUUACAAACCUCUUCUUUUGCAAAUUCCCUUUUGCAAAUUCUCUUUUGCAAAUCUCUUUUUUUGCAAACCUCUUCUUUUGCAAAUUCCCUUUUGCAAACCUCUUUUUUUGCAAAUUCCCUUUUGCAAAUCUCUUUUUUUGCAAAUUCCUUUUUGCAAAUUCCAUUUUUGCAAAUUCCAUUUUUGCAAGUUACUUUUUGCAAAUUCCAUUUUUGCAAGUUACUUUUUGCAAAUUCCUUUUUGCAAAUUCCUUUUUGCAAGUUACUUUCUGCAAAUUCCUUUUCUGCAAAUUCCUUUUUGCAGAU
rnacentral:lncRNA from 1 species